rnacentral:rRNA from 1 species
AACGCGAAGAACCUUACCAAGGCUUGACAUCCCAGGAAUCCCCAAGAAACUGGGGAGUGCCCUCGGGAACCUGGUGACAGGUGCUGCAUGGCCGUCGUCAGCUCGUGUCGUGAGAUGUUGGGUUAAGUCCCGCAACGAGCGCAACCCUUGUCGUCUGUUGGAUAUUUCAGGCGAGACUGCCCGGGCCAACCGGGAGGAAGGUGGGGAUGAAGUCAGGUCAGCAUGGCCCUUACGCCUUGGGCUACACACGUCAUACAAUGGCCGGUACAACGCGUUGCCAACCCGCGAGGGGGAGCUAAUCGCACCAAAACCGGUCCCAGUUCGGAUUGGAGGCUGCAACUCGCCUCCAUGAAGUCGGAAUCGCUAGUAACCGUGGGUCAGCAUACCGCGGUGAAUACGUUCCCGGGCCUUGUACACACCGAGUAUA